ACCGGCUGACACGACCAGCUCCCUCCGAACUCCCCCAGGGCAGGAAUGCAGCAAGGGUAAGAGGUUGUAGCGGUGCGAUGUCAGCCAUUUUU
rnacentral:SRP_RNA from 1 species